rnacentral:tRNA from 1 species
GGCGGCAUAGCCAAGUGGUAAGGCAACGGUCUGCAAAAUCGUUAUUCUCCGGUUCAAAUCCGGAUGCCGCCU